UACGGAAGGCAGCAGGGGGGAAUAUUGCACAAUGGGCGAAAGCCUGAUGCAGCUAUGCCGCGUGUAUGAAGAAGGCCUUAGGGUUGUAAAGUACUUUCAUCGGGGAGGAAAAAACAAACUAAUAAUUUUAUUUCUUGACGUUACCCGAAAAAGAAGCACCGGCUAACUCCGUGCCAGCAGCCGCGGUAAUACGGAGGGUGCUAGCGUUAAUCAGAAUUACUGGGCGUAAAGAGCACGUAGGUGGUUUUUUUAAAGUCAGAUGUGAAAUCCCUGGGCUUAACCUAGGAACUGCAUUUUGAAACUGAAAUACUAGAGUAUCGUAGAGGGAGGUAGAAUUCUAGGUGUAGCGGUGAAAUGCGUAGAUAUCUGGAGGAAUACCUGUGGCGAAAGCGGCCUCCUAAACCGAAUACUGACACUGAGGGUGCGAAAGCGUGGGGAGCAAACAGGGAUUAGAUACC
rnacentral:rRNA from 1 species